rnacentral:misc_RNA from 1 species
UCCGCCUUGGAGGCGGCAGUCUCCCCUGAAAAUACAACAGAGGAUGAGGGUUGCGCUCGUUUGCUGACUUAACAGUACACCUCAAGGCACGAGCUGACGACGACCGUGCAGCGCCUGUCUUCGGGUUCCUUGCGGCACUCAACUGUUUCCAGUCGAUUCCCGAGAUGUCAAGCCUGGGUGAGGUUCUUCGCUUAGUAUCGAAUUAAACCCCAUGCUCCACCGCUUGUGUGGGUCCCCGUCUAUUCCUUUGAGUUUUAGUCUUGCGACCGUACUUCCCAGGCGGCGUGCUUACCGCGUUAGCUUGAGGCACAGGGACUGAUUGAAGUCCCUACACCGGGCACGCAUCGUUUAGGGCGUGGACUA